rnacentral:rRNA from 1 species
AACUGAAGAGUUUGAUCAUGGCUCAGAUUGAACGCUGGCGGCAGGCUUAACACAUGCAAGUCGAGCGGGGGAAGGUAGCUUGCUACUGGACCUAGCGGCGGACGGGUGAGUAAUGCUUAGGAAUCUGCCUAUUAGUGGGGGACAACAUCUCGAAAGGGAUGCUAAUACCGCAUACGUCCUACGGGAGAAAGCAGGGGAUCUUCGGACCUUGCGCUAAUAGAUGAGCCUAAGUCGGAUUAGCUAGUUGGUGGGGUAAAGGCCUACCAAGGCGACGAUCUGUAGCGGGUCUGAGAGGAUGAUCCGCCACACUGGGACUGAGACACGGCCCAGACUCCUACGGGAGGCA